rnacentral:lncRNA from 1 species
GAAGGAUGUGCGAGAUACAUGUUGCAAUACAAGCAGGUCAAUUGUAUCAAGAGGCACCAAUCUCAACAGUUUUUCGAAUGACUCACCAACAUCCCAGCAUUUUCUCCACAUUUUGGAUAAGAUAUGAAGAAAAGGUUGUCUUCAACUACAUGAGUAUUGUUGCGGCCUUUCUCCGAUCAAGGUACUCGAUCCGAAGUCGACUAACUAUUGCACAUGAAUAUGGGCCGGUGGGAUGUCGAAAGAUGGAGUGCCAUCAUUGGAGAAAGUACACACAG